GCGGACGUGUCCGAGUGGUUAAGGAGAACGAUUAGAAAGCGUUUGGGCUCUGCCCGCACAGGUUCGAAUCCUGUCGUCCGCG